rnacentral:lncRNA from 1 species
CGAUUAUGUGGUUCUUAUAACACUAGAUGGGUUAAAGUCAUACUUUUGACUUCUAUUAUUUAUGUGAUUUUAUGUGAUCUUGGCCAUUCAGCCUUUUUUUGGUAAAAAGGGAAUGAUAAUAUCUCUCAAGAGUAUUGCAAGAUUUAAAUGAAAUUAAAUGUGUUGAAAGCUUCUUUAAGAAAUGUACAGAGUGCAUAGAAGAAUCUCAAUUUUUAUAAGUUUCUCAAUUUUCCCUUUACAUUUUCAUUCUUAUUGUCAUCUGUCUCUCACUGAUGCUGCUGCUUCUCAUGUCGCCCCCUAAGUGCAGACUAGUUCUCACCCUCAGUGCUCUAACCACUGCCUCUAGAAGUAAAAUAAGUGUCCUCUUGCAGAAUACUUCUACUUCCUUCUCCUCAAACCCCUCCAGCUUGGAAUCUCAUACUAUUUGAUUAUAUUGAUCACUCUCCCAAUGUUUAGUCACUUUCCCUCAUUCUUUGCAGUCUUUACAACCUGACUUAACUGCCAUUAUUUUGAUGUCUCAUUUAAAUUACUUAUCUUCUUUGACAUUUGACCUCAUCAUUUCCAAUGUACUUGCUAUCUUCAGUAUCUAGCUAUUCAAUCUCAUGAUCUCAGCUCAAACCACGUUAUUACUCCUAAUUGCAAAUUUUUACAAUCUAACUUUUAAGUCUCCUGCCUUCCGAACAUUAACUUCUAUCUUUCUAGUUCAUUCCAUUUACUACAACUUCAAAAAUACUGUGACUCAUCCUGGAUCUACAAUCUCAUACAAUAUACAAUACAGUCCUUAUACAAUUCUCAAUCCAGUUUUCUCCACACAUCCUUUACUUCUCAGCAAACCCACCUUCAAAACAUUUAAAUAAUUUUUACUACUGCUGUUAUCCACCCAGGCCAAGCCAAAAUCAUGUCUCAUCUGAAUUUUUAUCCCCCUUCCUGCUUCUGCAUUGGCCCUCACCCUCAGUCUAUUCUCAAUACCCAAGCAAGAAUAUAACAUAGUAUCAUGGAGAUCAUGCCACUCUGCUCAUUCACUUUUAAGGACUUCUAAUUCCACUCUGGGUCAUUAUUGUACAGAUUAUACAGCUCUACUCAUGCUCCCCACCAGGCACACCUCUUUGAUCACAGCCCUGUUGCUCUUCCCCUCAUGCCUCUGUUCUAGUUUUGCUGUACCCAACACUUCCUGGUGCUCUUUGGGCAGGCUGGGAAUUGUCUCUGUGUUAGCCCAUUCGAGCAGCUAUAACAAAAUACCAUAGACUAAGUAGCUUAUAAAUGACAGAAAUUUAUUUUUCACAGUUCUGGAAGCUAAGUCCCAGAUCAAAGUGCUCACAUAUUCCAUAUAUGAUGAGGCCCUAUUUCCUAGUUCAUAGACCCAUCUUCUUCACAUGGUGGAGUCGUCAUAUGGUGGAAGGGACAAACCAACCCCCUCAGGCAUCCUUUAUAAAGGCACCAAUCUCCUUCAUGAAGGCUCUGUAUUCAUGACAUAAUCACCUUCCAAAGACCUUAACUUUUAAUAGUAUCAUACUGUGAAUUACAUUUCAACCUAUGAAUUUGGAGGGGGGUGGUUGUCAACAUUCAGACCAUAGCACUCUCACAUUAGAUGCUUUGUACAUGGUUUCUCUGACUGAAAACACCUGUCUUCAAGUUCCCCCCUGAAUUGUUUCCUUAUCUCCUGGAUUAGUUCCUUCUCAUGCUGCUAAUAAAAACAUAUCCUAGACUGGGUAAUUUAUAAAGGAAAGAGAUUUAAUUGAGUCACAGUUCUGCACAGCUGGUGAGACCUCAGGAAACUUACAGCCAUGGUGGAAGGGGAAGCAACACAUCCUUCUUCACGUGGUGGCAGCAAGGAGAAGUGCCAAGCAAAAUGGGGGAAAAAACCCUGAUAAAACCCUCAGAGAACAUGAGAAUUCAUUCAUAUCACAAGAAUAGCAGCGUGGAGGUAACUGCCCCCAUGAUUCAAUUGUCUCCCACCAGGUCCCUCCCAUGACAUGUGGGGAUUAUGGGAACUACCAUUCAAGCUUUAGAUUUAGUGGGGGACCCAGUCAAACCAUAUCACCUUCUUCAAGUCUUUCACUCAAAUGCUACUGUCUCCGUCAUGCCUUCCUUAUUUCCCUACUUAAAAUUAUAUCUCCUCCUCGUGUUCUUUAUUUGCUUUGUCUGCUUUACUUUCCUCCAUAGCACUUAGCAACACUUAACAUAUUAUGUAGUUUAAUUAUUUAUGUUGUUACACAUCUCCUUCCAAGAGAAUGUAAGCUCCAAAAAGGCAUAUUUUUCUUUAUUUUCUUUUUUUCACUGCUAUAUCCGCAGUGUCUACAAUACAAUGUGGUACAAGGUAGGAGCUUAAUGUGAAUGAAUGAAUGUUAGUCGUAUUACCUUUUAAAUUUACCUUAUUUUUUAAUUUUCUACAUUUUCCACAUUCCUUCAUCCUUUCCACCUUCCUACAUCCUGUGGGAUGUGCAUACAGAAAGCAGCAACAUUAAGGUAAAAAGUUCAACCUUUGGAUUAAUAUUUAAAUCUUGAGACAGUUUUGCUUUUCUGUUGCCUUUAGCAAAACCACAUUCCUGCUGCUGUCAGUUAUGAUGCACUGAGAAAACUUCAGAGACCUAAACUUUUUCCAGAGAAGAGAAGCUUUACUGGUUCUAUAUUGCAGAAACCUUUGUUCAACAAAACUGCAGAUGCUCUGUUGAAUCCACUGGAGAUUGUUCUGAUACUAAGGACAAGUAUCAAACAUCUUUCCUGUGAAAAAUUCCCUCUCCUAGUACUUUAGUUCUGUGGAUCCAAAAUUUAUAGCAUUCUUCUACCACCACAGGGGCUCAUAUGACAUUAACAGACAAGACACUUUUCAGAAAGACAGGUUGUUCUUUUGGGCCACAUCUAAGAAAUCUUUGUCUAGCCAAAAGCCACAAAUAAUUUCUCAUUUUUUGGCUUCUGGAAGAUGUACAGUUAAAUGUUAUAUUUGGGACUGUUAUCUAAUUUGGUUAAAUUGCACUCUACAAUAUGGUAUUUGAAUUGAUGAAAAAUUAGUAAAUGUUAAUAUUUUUUAAAGUAGCCAAAUCUUGCAAUUUAUAUAUAAUAGAGAAGACUAGAAAAUCCCCCAUAUUUAUUUCCUCUUACUUCGUACUACUAAAAUUUGUAUUUAGGCAUUUGGUUUCUCAGAUAAACAUUACAUUCCCCAGUAUAUGGUUCUAUCUGGCUUGGUGACGACAUGUUGAACAUUAAGAUGUGAGCAGAAGUAAUACAUACACACUCUUUUUCAUGUCUUUAAUUGAAUGGGAUAUUGGCCCAUUUUUUCUUCCAGUUUAUUACACUGAAUAUUGACAUGUUAUUUUCCAAUAUUGAGACAAUCAAUGACAAGACUUUAAGAGUAACAAUGUAAAAAUACAGAAGUUGUCUGAGUUUAUCAACAAUCCCCUGGAUUAGAACCCCCUACCAGUUCUAGGUCAUCUAAUAUAUAGACAUUGUGUUCAGUAGAAAUAAAUAUAUAUAUUUUUUAUUAUGCUUUAAGUUCUAGGAUACAUGUGCACAACAUGCAGUUUUGUUACAUUGGUAUACACGUGCCAUGUUGGUUUGCUGCACCCAUUAACUCAUCAUUUACAUUAGGUAUUUCUCCUAAUGCUAUCCCUCCCCCUGCCCCCACCCCCGACAGGCCCUGGGGUGUGAUUUUCCCCACCCUGUGUCCAAGUGUUCUCAUUGCUCAAUUCCCACCUAUGGGAAUACAUUUUUAAAUCAUUUUUAAAGGUGUUAUUACAUUCUGAUUGAACAUUUUCAGAAAGAAUAAAUAAUUUAAUACAAGAAGUGGGCCACUUCAUGUAACAAAACAAACCACCACUACAGCAACAACAACAAAAAACACUAAUGAAUGUGACUUUAGCUUUGCAACAUCGUGACAGACUAGCAAGUUAAUGACAUUUGUUAUGCCAUAGAAAAUAUUUGUUGAAUUGCCACUCUAAUGACUUUAUAUCAGCCAACUCAUUAUCAACACUAGAAAAGAUGAUUAAAAAAUACUUCAGUACGUUCACGUGUUGGCUUGUUAACAUUUUUAAGAGUCUAUAAGAGAAAAAUGCAUCCAAUCUUGACAAAAAUAUUUUUCAAGUAUCUUGUAGGUACGUACAACUAACUACCUUGUGAACAAAAGUCACUAUAUAAUUAUAUAAUUUCUGACACUUAAAAAAGUUUAUUGUGCUAAAGAAGAUAUAUGUUCUAAUACCAAAUCCACAUAUAAAAUAAUUGACUUAAAUAAUUUAAGAUGCUCUUUUAUAUAUUUAUAUUAAAAACUUUACAGAGAAUAAAAAAAGCAUUAUACAGGCUACUUAUGGUUUUUGAUGUUUGGAUCUACAAUACAUGUAUCAAAGAUUGUGGAAAUAAAUCAAACAAUAUAUUCAAUUGGACUUAAUUGCAUUAUUACAUGCCAAGUGUCGUAUACCAUCUAUUUGCACAUAACACUUUUUAAUUUAGGUAAAAUUAUUAUCAUAAAGCUACAUGAAUUUAUUUUAUUCCAUGUUAUUAUUUAUGUAUUGUUAGGAACAUUUGCUUAAAAAUCAUAUUUGGACAUAGUUAGUAUCAGAUACUUUACAUCCUUUGAAUCAGUUAUUUUAUAACAGUAUAUACUAAACAUCAUUACUCCUUUUCAAACAUAAAUAACGCAAUACAAAUUGGACAAAAAAUUCAGGAAAGAUCUGGGAUCAAAAAGGAGGUAUUGAAACAUCACAUGUACUCCAUAAUUAUAUACAAAUAUUUUGUACCCAUAAUAUUUAAAAUACAGAAAAUUAAAAGGUGCAUUUUCCUCAAAGUGCAUGCUUCUUUUGCUAUGCAAAACUGCAAGAUAUGGAAAGAAGUGUAUUAAAACACUAAAUCACUUUAUGUGGAAGAUAAAAGGGAUGGUACCCAAUGUAAGACUUCAUGUAGUGCACUGAUACAUUCAAUACAAAUGAUGUAUUAACUUCAAGAUAACAUGAGAAAGUUAAAUUAUCUAACUUAUUUCAAACUAGGGGAUAGUAUGUUCUCAUUAUUAGAAGCCAGAAUUCUGCUUAUCCAUUUCUAUUAUUAGAAAAAAACAUAAUUUUUAUUCUUGUCUUAAAAAUAGACACCAUGAUAUCAUUCUCUGUAAAUGCAGCAUGAUAGUCUGUUUACAGAGUUUAUAUCAUUCCAAGACUGCACUUCUAAAGUGAGAAAAUAUUAAAGGAUAUAAACUCACUCCUCUCUACAAAAUUCCUUAUUUUUUAUGCAAUGGCUUUAAAAUGUAUGGAAGGGGAGUUAUGGAAACAAUCCAUACCUGGAAAGCAUUCUAUCCAUGCCUUUGAAAUGGUUAUCUAGUACUAGAUUCUUAUCAGUGCCUAGCUAUGUAAUGUGUGUAGCUUAAGAUUUUUAAGAAAGAAGGAUAAAAUGCUCAAUAUAAAUUUAAAAAGCACUUUUAUUGGAAUAUUGAAUCAUAUAUUUGCUUUCUGUAAGUCCUUUUAUCUAUAAAAUAAUAGUUGAGAAAGGCAAAUAGAAUAUGUGGAGGAAUUAAAAAUUCAGUUGUAGGGUGGUAAAUGAAAACCAAAUUUUUCAUUCACCACAUUAAAUGUAAAUGGGUAUUAUACUCAAUUUAAGCAGCAAAGUUGCUUUUUUUUUUUUUUUUUUUUUUGAGACAGAGACUCACACUGUCGCCCGGGCUGGAGUACAAUGUUGCCAUCUCGCUUCACUGCAACCCCUGCCUGCUGGGUUCAAGCCAUUCUCCUGCCGCAGCCUCCCGUGUAGCUUCUUAAGAUGUGAAGAUUUUUAAAUUAAGAUGACUCUUGGGAUGAACCAUCUUGUGUUGGUUAAAGACUUUUACUGACAUAUUUUUAAUAAUUUUUUUAACUUUUAUUUUCAGGUCAAUGGCACAUGCGUAGGUUUGUUAUGUAGGUAAACUAGUGUCACAGGGAUUUGUUGUGCAGAUUAUUUCACCACCCAGCUAUUAAGCCUAGUACCCAUUAAUUGUUUUUCCUGAUCUUCUGCUUCCUCCCACCAUCCACCCUCCCAGAGGCCCCAGUGUCUGUUGUUUCCCUCUAUGUGUUCAUGUGUUCUCAUAAUUUAGCUCCCAUUUGUAAAUGAGAACAUGCAGUAUUUGGUUUUCUGUUCCUGCAUUAGUUUGUUAAGGAUAAAGACCUCCAUCCAGCUCCAUCCAUGUUCCUGCAAAGGACUUGAUCUCACUCUCUUUUAUGGCUGCCUAACAUUCCAUGGUGUAUAUGAACCACAAAAUAAAGAUGGUUCUUAACUUUUAAAUUAAGAUUUUUAAAUUAAGAUGAAUCUUGAUUUUUAAAUUAGUAUGGUUUUAAGAUAGUUUUACAGAUAGAUUAGAUAAUCUAUCUAGAGAUAGACAGGGAGAGAUAUCUAUCAAUACAUAUCUCUAUCUAGAUAUAGAUAGAUGGUUUUCUAUAUAGACCUAUCUAUCUAUAUAUGUAUACAUCUAUAUAUGUCUACACAUAUCUCUAUACACAUAUAUAUAUUUAUAUCUACAUCUAUAUUUCUACAUGUAUAUAGGUAUGUAUAUAUCUACAUGUAUAUAUGUAUAUAGAUAGAUAUAUACAUAGGUAUCUGUAUAUAUGCAUAUACAUGCCUAUCUUUAUCUACAUGUAUAUAGAUAUCAUAUACACACAUAGAUAUAUAUAUAUAUCGGCAUGUAGAUAUUUAUGUAGAUAUACAUAUAUAGAUAUCUGCAUAUAUACAUUUGUAUAUAUAGACAUAGAUAUAAAUAUUAAUAUAUCUAUAUAUGUAUAUAAAUACAUAUACAUAUCUGUAUCUGUAGAAGAUAUCUACUAUCUUCUAUCUAUAUAUCUAUCUAUAGAACCAUCUUAAUUUAAAAACCUUUCAUAUAUGCAUAUAAAAGGUAAUCAAACACAAGCCAAAUGAAAAUUUGUUUAGCUAUGUUAAUAUCAGACAAAAGAGAUUUUAAGGCAGAAAUUAUUACUUGAAAGGAAGAUGUAUCCAUCAUCCAUAUAAAAGAAUCAACUAUUGAGGAAGUUGUCAAACUUGUGUAUGUAUAUUCACUCACACACAGUUAACACACAUUUACAAUUUUUAUAGAACUAAAAGGAGCAAUAGCCGCGUCUUCAAUCAUAAAGACUUUAAUAUACCUUUUUCAAUAACUGAUAGCAAAAAGGAUACAAAAUAUCAAUAAUAAUAGAAAAAUUUAAAGCAGUAGGAUUAAAUACUUUGAUAUAAAAACUGCACCCAAAAAUAGCAAAACACACAAUUUAUUAUAAUGUAUUUGGAACGUGUUUCAAAAUUUACCAUAGCUAUCUAUAGAUAUCUCUGUCUAUCUAGGUAGAUAGAUAAUAGAUAGGUAGGUAGGUAGAUAGAUAGAUAGAUAGAUAGAUAGAUAGAUAGAUAGAUAGAUAGGUUAGAUAGACAGAUAUAGGCUGAGGUUAGGCCCAAAACAAGAAUCAAUAAAUACCAAAAAUUUGAAAUCCUUGACAGUGUUUUUUGUACAACAAUGUUAUUAAGCUGCAAAUCUAUAGCAAGACUUUGAAAGUGACCAAAUGUUUAGAAAUUAAGCAUCACAUUUCUAAGUUAUUCAUGGAUCGAAAAAGUAAUUACAGUGAAUAUUAAAAUAUAUUUUGAAUUUAAUAAAAACGAAAGUAAAAAUACUGCUUGUUAAAAGAUGGGAGGCUUAGGCAAACCUCAGCUUGGAGAUAAAUGCAUAUGCUUACAUAAAUAUGUUUAAAAAAUUAAAGCUUGAAAAUUAAUAAUCUAAUUGUCAAUUUCAAAAAUUUAAAAUGUGAUGUCAAAUUAAAUCCAAAGAAUUAGAAAAGAGAAGAUACAUAAGAAGCAUGAGAAAAGGAAACAAUCAUAAAAUAAAUGAAAUCAGCAAAAGCCAAAGUUACUUUGAAAAGACUGAUAAAAAUAUACCAUGAUUAUGCAUGAAAUUUAAAAAAAAGAGUAUCCACAAAUUCUAAAUAUCAUGAAUAAUAACAAGGAAAUCAUUAUAGAUUCUAUAGUCAUGGGAGAGAAAAAGAGAAUGUAAUAAGUAACUUUAAGUCAAAAAUUUUGAAAUAAUUUGAUGAAAUAGAUACAUUUCUAGAAAAUCAUUAAUAGUGACACAAGAAUAAAUAGCAAAUCCUAAUAGCUCUAUAUCUAUUAAAAAUAAAAUUACAAUUAAAGCUUUCCAAAUGUAGUGAGUCUAAAUCAAAUAAAAUAUUAAAAAUCUGAAAUGUUUCCAGGAAGAAACAUUGAAUUCCUAAUAUAAAAUGUAACAUAUCAUAUGCAAUCCCUUUACUGAAAAUUGUGAAAUUUUACUGAGAGAAAUUAAAGAUAUUCAACAGAAAUAAAGGUGUACUGUGAGUCCUAUGUCAUUCCUGGUAUUAGAAGAAAGAUUCAGUAUUUUAAAUAAAUCUAUAUUUGUAAUACACUGAAAAUCACAAUACUGUGAUUAGUAAUAGCAUAAUUUGUCUGCAUUAUAUUUGGUGGCAACUGAAAAACUGACUAUAAAAUGCAAAUAAAAAUGCAGUGUAUAGAUAACUUUGAAGAAAAAAUAUAAUGUGAAGACUUACACUAUUAGAUAUAAAGUUUUUAUAAAUGUAUAUUAAUUAUGACAUUAUGGAAAAGGUGCAAGUAUAGAUAUUUCAAUGAAACAGAAUAGAGAGCUCGUAAAGAGAACCACACAAUAUAUUUAGCUGAUUUGUGAAAAAAAUAGUGCUUCAGUACAAUGAGGAAAAGAUUCAUUUUCAAUAAAUUGUGCUGUCUUUCAUACAUCGGUACAGAUAAAAAUGAAUAUUAACAUCCAACCUCACAACAUACACAAAAAUUAUUUCAUAUAGAAGCCAAUGUGUAACAUAAAACAGUACAGUUUUUAAAAAGUAAUACAGAGGACACUUCUAUGACCUUAAGAUUUUAAAAAAGACUCAAAAAGUAACGAUUGAAGGCUAAUAAAUAAGAUAAAUAAGUUAAUAAAUAGUAAUAAAAUAACAUAAAAAAUAAGGAUUUGUAAUCAUAAAAUAACUCACUGAGAGUGAAAAGGCAAGCAACAGAAUGGGAAAUGAAAUUUGCAAACAUAAAUACAAUAAGAACUCUUGAUCAAAAGAUACUUUUUAAACUCUACAAAUGAAUUUUUUGAAAAAAAAAAUAUGGCCAGGUACAGUGGCUCACGCCAUUAAUCCCAGCACUUUGGGAGGAACACUUGAGCCCGAGAAUUU